rnacentral:rRNA from 1 species
UGGGGAAUAUUGCACAAUGGGGGAAACCCUGAUGCAGCGACGCCGCGUGAACGAAGAAGGUAUUCGUAUCGUAAAGUUCUGUCCUAUGGGAAGAUAAUGACAGUACCAUAGAAGAAAGCUCCGGCUAAAUACGUGCCAGCAGCCGCGGUAAUACGUAUGGAGCGAGCGUUGUCCGGAAUUAUUGGGCGUAAAGGGUACGCAGGCGGUUUAAUAAGUCGAAUGUUAAAGAUCGGGGCUCAACCCCGCAAAGCAUUGGAAACUGAUAAACUUGAGUAGUGGAGAGAAAAGUGGAAUUCCUAGUGUAGUGGUGAAAUACGUAGAUAUUAGGAGGAAUACCAGUAGCGAAGGCGACUUUCUGGACACAAACUGACGCUGAGGUACGAAAGCGUGGGGAGCAAACAGG